UGUAAAGUGCCCAGUUGUUCUGCCAGGUCAGCCGGGAGCUGCACGGGCGGGAGAUGGGCUUAAUGGUGCGCAGCGGUGCCGAAAGGCCCAAGCCCCAUAUUCUUAAUGGCAUAAGCUGCAGGAUGCCAGGUUUGUGCUGAGUUUAUGCAAAAUAGGAUACGACUGCAAACAGAGACGAAGUUUAUGCGUUCAGUGACAACCGCUACAGCUUUAACCCUGCCUUAGCAUCAUAGAAUUGCUCAGGUUGGAAAAGACCUUAAAGAUCAUCGAGUCCAACCACAACCUAACCGUACUACCCUAACAGCUCUCCACUAAAUCGUGUCCAAACGGUUUCCUUUUCGCACCUGGUGUCACGUCACUUGCUUUUUAUUGCUUCUCCUCUUGUGUGAGUGGUGGCAGAGCCUGCGCUCCCUUCCCAGGGCUGUACGGAGGACUAACUGCAGCUGUGUCCUGUGCCACACCAGAGGAAGGAGAGUGUCUGUGCAUCAGAGGCGCUCCCAAGUCCAGGGAAAGGAGUGUCGUGUCUCAGCGCUGCCGUGAAUGAAAAACUGUUUUGUUUUGUUUUGUUUUUUAUCAGAAGUGAUGUUGUUCCUGUGAAGGAUGUGGGCUGGGUGAACAAAUCCUGUGUGCAGUAUUAAUGAGCAUCACCUGUUUUCCUCAUGCCUUGCAGGUUUCAGUGAGGGUGGUGUGGCUCGUGUCAGACUCCUUGACCCUGUGGAGGUGCUUUGGAGACUUGGCACCAAAGUGGUGCCUGCAGUCAGUGAGUGUGCCUGUAACACGACAUACAGAGGGAAAAUCCUUCAUUCAUCUUUACCAAGCUCCAGAAGGUGGAGAGAGGGCCAGUGGAGACAUGUAAUGAAUGUCGAUAACUACAUUUAAUUUCUUUGGCAAGUGAUACUAGGAAACCACUGAACAGAAAGAGAAGUAAGAAUCCUUAUUUUCAGCCAUUCUAUGGGACCCACUGCAAGUUAGAGGAGAAAUGGAGGAACUCUCCAAACAAGUUGCUGGUGGAGGUAUUGUGGAAGUAGAAGAAAGUGGUUUCAUCACUGGCCCACUAUGGACUUAAUGUUUUGAAAAAAUAAAUUUUGCUGAAGCAAAACCAUUUGCAUUCUUAUCUGUAGCUGGUCAGCUAUUUAAAUGGCACUGAAGAUUACUUCCUUCUGUGACUUUCCUAUGGUUUAAGGAACAAAUAAAUCAUACUGCUAUUGCAGCAUCUCCC
rnacentral:lncRNA from 7 species